GGAGCAGAGCGGGUGAUCGCCUCUUUUCUUAAUGAAAAGGGGAGGAAAGUCCGAACUUCACAGGGUAGAGUGCUCCGGGUAACCGGAGGCGUUUCGGUAAUACGAAACGACGGAAAGUGCCACAGAAAAUAUACCGCCUCAGCAACGCUGAGGUAAGGGUGAAAAGGCGAGGUAAGAGCUCACCACCCUGCUGGUGACAGCAGGGGAAGGCAAACCCCACUCGAAGCAAGGCCAAAUAGGUGAGGAGUUCUCUGUGAAAAACAGAGGCACGAAAUGACCCGUUUCGUCUGACUCACGGGUAGGCCGCAUUAGACAAAUGAUCACCGUCUCGUGAAAAACGAGAUACAGAAUUCGGCUUAUCGCUCUCUCCCCCA
rnacentral:RNase_P_RNA from 1 species